rnacentral:rRNA from 1 species
GAGUUUGAUCUUGGCUCAGAUUGAACGCUGGCGGCAUGCCUUACACAUGCAAGUCGAACGGCAGCACGGGAGCUUGCUCCUGGUGGCGAGUGGCGAACGGGUGAGUAAUGCAUCGGAACGUAUCCUGGAGUGGGGGAUAACGUAGCGAAAGUUACGCUAAUACCGCAUAUUCUGUGAGCAGGAAAGCGGGGGACCUUCGGGCCUCGCGCUCUUGGAGCGGCCGAUGUCGGAUUAGCUAGUUGGUGAGGUAAAGGCUCACCAAGGCGACGAUCCGUAGCAGGUCUGAGAGGAUGAUCUGCCACACUGGGACUGAGACACGGUCCAGACUCCUACGGGAGGCAGCAGUGGGGAAUUUUGGACAAUGGGGGCAACCCUGAUCCAGCCAUGCCGCGUGAGUGAAGAAGGCCUCGG